GGGACACGUGGUAUCCUGUCUGAAUAUGGGGGGACCAUCCUCCAAGGCUAAAUACUCCUGACUGACCGAUAGUGAACCAGUACCGUGAGGGAAAGGCGAAAAGAACCCCGGCGAGGGGAGUGAAAAAGAACCUGAAACCGUGUACGUACAAGCAGUGGGAGCACGCUUAGGCGUGUGACUGCGUACCUUUUGUAUAAUGGGUCAGCGACUUAUAUUCUGUAGCAAGGUUAACCGAAUAGGGGAGCCGAAGGGAAACCGAGUCUUAACUGGGCGUUAAGUUGCAGGGUAUAGACCCGAAACCCGGUGAUCUAGCCAUGGGCAGGUUGAAGGUUGGGUAACACUAACUGGAGGACCGAACCGACUAAUGUUGAAAAAUUAGCGGAUGACUUGUGGCUGGGGGUGAAAGGCCAAUCAAACCGGGAGAUAGCUGGUUCUCCCCGAAAGCUAUUUAGGUAGCGCCUCGUGAAUUCAUCUCCGGGGGUAGAGCACUGUUUCGGCAAGGGGGUCAUCCCGACUUACCAACCCGAUGCAAACUGCGAAUACCGGAGAAUGUUAUCACGGGAGACACACGGCGGGUGCUAACGUCCGUCGUGAAGAGGGAAACAACCCAGACCGCCAGCUAAGGUCCCAAAGUCAUGGUUAAGUGGGAAACGAUGUGGGAAGGCCCAGACAGCCAGGAUGUUGGCUUAGAAGCAGCCAUCAUUUAAAGAAAGCGUAAUAGCUCACUGGUCGAGUCGGCCUGCGCGGAAGAUGUAACGGGGCUAAACCAUGCACCGAAGCUGCGGCAGCGACGCUGAUGCGUUGUUGGGUAGGGGAGCGUUCUGUAAGCCUGCGAAGGUGUGCUGUGAGGCAUGCUGGAGGUAUCAGAAGUGCGAAUGCUGACAUAAGUAACGAUAAAGCGGGUGAAAAGCCCGCUCGCCGGAAGACCAAGGGUUCCUGUCCAACGUUAAUCGGGGCAGGGUGAGUCGACCCCUAAGGCGAGGCCGAAAGGCGUAGUCGAUGGGAAACAGGUUAAUAUUCCUGUACUUGGUGUUACUGCGAAGGGGGGACGGAGAAGGCUAUGUUGGCCGGGCGACGGUUGUCCCGGUUUAAGCGUGUAGGCUGGUUUUCCAGGCAAAUCCGGAAAAUCAAGGCUGAGGCGUGAUGACGAGGCACUACGGUGCUGAAGCAACAAAUGCCCUGCUUCCAGGAAAAGCCUCUAAGCAUCAGGUAACAUCAAAUCGUACCCCAAACCGACACAGGUGGUCAGGUAGAGAAUACCAAGGCGCUUGAGAGAACUCGGGUGAAGGAACUAGGCAAAAUGGUGCCGUAACUUCGGGAGAAGGCACGCUGAUAUGUAGGUGAAGCGACUUGCUCGUGGAGCUGAAAUCAGUCGAAGAUACCAGCUGGCUGCAACUGUUUAUUAAAAACACAGCACUGUGCAAACACGAAAGUGGACGUAUACGGUGUGACGCCUGCCCGGUGCCGGAAGGUUAAUUGAUGGGGUCAGCGCAAGCGAAGCUCUUGAUCGAAGCCCCGGUAAACGGCGGCCGUAACUAUAACGGUCCUAAGGUAGCGAAAUUCCUUGUCGGGUAAGUUCCGACCUGCACGAAUGGCGUAAUGAUGGCCAGGCUGUCUCCACCCGAGACUCAGUGAAAUUGAACUCGCUGUGAAGAUGCAGUGUACCCGCGGCAAGACGGAAAGACCCCGUGAACCUUUACUAUAGCUUGACACUGAACAUUGAGCCUUGAUGUGUAGGAUAGGUGGGAGGCUUUGAAGUGUGGACGCCAGUCUGCAUGGAGCCGACCUUGAAAUACCACCCUUUAAUGUUUGAUGUUCUAACGUGGACCCGUGAUCCGGGUUGCGGACAGUGUCUGGUGGGUAGUUUGACUGGGGCGGUCUCCUCCUAAAGAGUAACGGAGGAGCACGAAGGUUGGCUAAUCCUGGUCGGACAUCAGGAGGUUAGUGCAAUGGCAUAAGCCAGCUUGACUGCGAGCGUGACGGCGCGAGCAGGUGCGAAAGCAGGUCAUAGUGAUCCGGUGGUUCUGAAUGGAAGGGCCAUCGCUCAACGGAUAAAAGGUACUCCGGGGAUAACAGGCUGAUACCGCCCAAGAGUUCAUAUCGACGGCGGUGUUUGGCACCUCGAUGUCGGCUCAUCACAUCCUGGGGCUGAAGUAGGUCCCAAGGGUAUGGCUGUUCGCCAUUUAAAGUGGUACGCGAGCUGGGUUUAGAACGUCGUGAGACAGUUCGGUCCCUAUCUGCCGUGGGCGCUGGAGAACUGAGGGGGGCUGCUCCUAGUACGAGAGGACCGGAGUGGACGCAUCACUGGUGUUCGGGUUGUCAUGCCAAUGGCACUGCCCGGUAGCUAAAUGCGGAAGAGAUAAGUGCUGAAAGCAUCUAAGCACGAAACUUGCCCCGAGAUGAGUUCUCCCUGACUCCUUGAGAGUCCUGAAGGAACGUUGAAGACGACGACGUUGAUAGGCCGGGUGUGUAAGCGCAGCGAUGCGUUGAGCUAACCGGUACUAAUGAACCGUGAGG
rnacentral:rRNA from 1 species